rnacentral:lncRNA from 1 species
ACGUCGUCAGGACUGGAUGAGUCGUAGUUCCAUUCAUCCACCUCUAUCUCACUCACUCACUCACCCCCGUCGUCGUACUCAUCCAUCCAUCCUUUACCCAUUCAUCUUUACAUCCAUCCACCGCCCUGACACCCCCCGAUACAGGUCUCAUUAACUCCCAUCCCCUGCUCUUCUUUUCAUCCUUCCGUUCGGUGGUGCUCCCCAUUAUUCAUCCAUUCCCUUGCGAGGAUGAUUGUUACAUCAUUCAUCCAUCCCUUGCCUUGUCUUGCCUUGCCAGAUCCAAAGUAACUCUAUCCAUCCAUUCAUGCCCCUCCCCACCCCUCCUCGCUCCGCAUUUCUGAUACGCCCUUUCCCGUUCCCUUGU